rnacentral:lncRNA from 1 species
UUUCCUGUCCCUUUUGGAGCCCCAAAGCAGUGAAAUGGAGCAGAACUAGUUAGCCAUCCGUGCAGUUGCUUUGGGAGACGGCCAUGGUACCAGAGUGAAACGUCAGAGCCAGACCAGCAUGAGAAGAAUGUCUACUCAAGGGAUGGCAGCAGAGUGUGGGUUUCAGAGUCUGAGAUGGGUGACGAGGUCAACCCAAAGAGGGAGGCCCAGCACAUAGUGUCAGAAACCAAGCAGGGUGGAGAGGGUGUCCCUGCAGGGUUCCUGGUGGUGGCAGUAGCAGCAACUCAAGAUUGGCUACACACAAGGAGACUGAUCAAAUAAUAUAUUGAGAAUAACAAGAAUCAGAAGCUUCACCAUGGAUGAGAAAGGAAUUACAAAUAUAAAAAAGCAGAAAACCAGAAGUAACUCUAUUAUAUCAGCUUGGAACUAGAGAUACCAGUAUGAAUUCAUGGUUCUCAAAAUAUAUAGAUAUAAA